rnacentral:rRNA from 1 species
AACGAACGCUGGCGGCAUGCCUAACACAUGCAAGUCGAACGAGACCUUCGGGUCUAGUGGCGCACGGGUGCGUAACGCGUGGGAACCUGCCCUUAGGUUCGGAAUAACUCCCCGAAAGGGGUGCUAAUACCGGAUAAUGUCUUCGGACCAAAGAUUUAUCGCCUUUGGAUGGGCCCGCGUUGGAUUAGCUAGUUGGUAGGGUAAAAGCCUACCAAGGCGACGAUCCAUAGCUGGUCUGAGAGGAUGAUCAGCCACACUGGGACUGAGACCCGGCCCAGAAUACUUAGGGAGGGGAGAAUGGGGGAAAAUGGAAAAAGGGGGGAAGGCUGAAGCAACAAGGGCGGGGAAAGGAUGAAAGGCUUAAGGUUUGAAAGGCUCUUUAACCGGGAAGAUAAUGAAAGUACCGGGAGAAUAAGCUCCGGCUAACUCCGUG